AAGUGGGGCUGGCCUGCCAGGGGCUCCUGCACGUGCUGCAGGAUGUGAGUGGACGAGUGGUGAGACAAAGCUGCUGCUUGACCUAUAGGCCUCAUAUUUUCCUGAAGUUGGCCCUCUAAAAAAAUUCCGCAACAAGAAGGCCAUGUUUGAAAGAAUCGCCACAGAGAUCAAAGAUAAACUCAGUGUAACACGGACUGGUGAGCAGUGUUGCUCUAGAUACAAAACCGUACUGAAAAGAAAAAAAUGUGGCAGCUGGCAAAAAUAUCAAGUCUGGUAAUUCCCCACAAGAAGUCCCAUACGAGGAUGAACUCGAAAAAAUCAAGUGGCUGGAUGACAGCAUAGAACCAGAAACGGUACGUGACGCAAGUGGAGUGGUGUCGAAAAAGACACGUCCACAAUCAUUAACCGAGUCCAUCCCGCGAGAUGAUCCAAGCCCGUCAACAUCUAACACUGCAUCCAGCUCCGUUGGUCAAGAGGACGCCCCUGAUACAAAAAAAGCGCCCGAAUUCAGCACGGGACCUGCAUGUGCAAGUCUUCUUUGAGAAGAUGAAUGAAUUGAAUGAACGCCGAGCAAAACGCAAGGCAGAAAAAGAGAGCAAGAGGGAAGAGCGGCGACUUGCCGAAACACAGCGACGAGAGGAGAUGCCUGCAGACAAGAUGAACCUUCUCCGUGAAAUUUUCAACUUGGACAAAAAUGAAUAAAAUGUGAAAAGCAUG
rnacentral:lncRNA from 1 species